CCCAACAGGUAAACCAAACACCCCCUAAAGGUUACAAUAAAAUGCCUCAGAAAUCGCUAAAUAUCCUCCAUAAACACAUUAUUCAAUAAGAUCUAAGCAAUUACAAGCCAAAAAUGAAAACAUAAGACAACCCUUUUUUCUCUUCACCAAUUAAAUGAUUAAAGGGCACUAGACUGUCAAGGUCCCCUGCUGGACAUGCCAAGCAACAACAUCC
rnacentral:misc_RNA from 1 species